ACCCUCUCAGGGUUGCACCUGUAGAGUUCCCAGUACUCUACCAGUCUCAACUACAGGAGGGAGAGUCAAGUAGAGGCCUACCUAUUCCAUUUCUAGUUUGGGCAGUGGCUAGUGUGUGGAAGACAGUCUGCCGCAGGU